GGAGAAUGUUAUCACGGGAGACACACGGCGGGUGCUAACGUCCGUCGUGAAGAGGGAAACAACCCAGACCGCCAGCUAAGGUCCCAAAGUCAUGGUUAAGUGGGAAACGAUGUGGGAAGGCCCAGACAGCCAGGAUGUUGGCUUAGAAGCAGCCAUCAUUUAAAGAAAGCGUAAUAGCUCACUGGUCGAGUCGGCCUGCGCGGAAGAUGUAACGGGGCUAAACCAUGCACCGAAGCUGCGGCAGCGACGCUGAUGCGUUGUUGGGUAGGGGAGCGUUCUGUAAGCCUGCGAAGGUGUGCUGUGAGGCAUGCUGGAGGUAUCAGAAGUGCGAAUGCUGACAUAAGUAACGAUAAAGCGGGUGAAAAGCCCGCUCGCCGGAAGACCAAGGGUUCCUGUCCAACGUUAAUCGGGGCAGGGUGAGUCGACCCCUAAGGCGAGGCCGAAAGGCGUAGUCGAUGGGAAACAGGUUAAUAUUCCUGUACUUGGUGUUACUGCGAAGGGGGGACGGAGAAGGCUAUGUUGGCCGGGCGACGGUUGUCCCGGUUUAAGCGUGUAGGCUGGUUUUCCAGGCAAAUCCGGAAAAUCAAGGCUGAGGCGUGAUGACGAGGCACUACGGUGCUGAAGCAACAAAUGCCCUGCUUCCAGGAAAAGCCUCUAAGCAUCAGGUAACAUCAAAUCGUACCCCAAACCGACACAGGUGGUCAGGUAGAGAAUACCAAGGCGCUUGAGAGAACUCGGGUGAAGGAACUAGGCAAAAUGGUGCCGUAACUUCGGGAGAAGG
rnacentral:rRNA from 1 species